UACGAAGGGGGCUAGCGUUGCUCGGAAUUACUGGGCGUAAAGCGCACGUCGGCCGGUUGUUAAGUCGGGGGUGAAAUCCUGGAGCUCAACUCCAGAACUGCCUUCGAAACUGACGAUCUUGAGUUCGGGAGAGGUGAGUGGAACUGCGAGUGUAGAGGUGAAAUUCGUAGAUAUUCGCAAGAACACCAGUGGCGAAGGCGGCUCACUGGCCCGAUACUGACGCUGAGGUGCGAAAGCGUGGGGAGCAAACAGG
rnacentral:rRNA from 1 species